GUAGACAGGAACUUAUUCAUUACCACUGGAGAAUUCAAUGAAGCUGCUGAUUAUUCUUUGCAUAAUGGAAUGUUUUGAAUUCUCUUCAAGACAGACUAUGAGGAUUAUCUGGCAGGUAAGCAAAAACCAGAGAAAUAAAGGUGAUAUGCACAUCUGUUAUUUCUAUUCAUGAAAUCUGGAAAUGUAUUAUAUGAUCCAGAAACUUUGUAGCAUUAUUUACUAGUCCAGGACUUUACUUUUUCU
rnacentral:lncRNA from 1 species